rnacentral:rRNA from 1 species
CCUACGGGAGGCUGCAGUAGGGAAUAUUGGGCAAUGGGUGAGAGCCUGACCCAGCCAUGCCGCGUGCAGGAAGACGGCCCUAUGGGUUGUAAACUGCUUUUGUAAGGGAAGAAAAAAGUCCUGCGGGAUACAUUGACGGUACCUUACGAAUAAGCACCGGCUAACUCCGUGCCAGCAGCCGCGGUAAUACGGAGGGUGCAAGCGUUGUCCGGAUUUAUUGGGUUUAAAGGGUACGUAGGCGGAUGCUUAAGUCAGUGGUGAAAGCCUGCGGCUCAACCGUAGGAUUGCCUCUGAUACUGAGUAUCUUGAGUGCGGUAGAGGUGGGCGGAAUUCAUGGUGUAGCGGUGAAAUGCAUAGAUACCAUGAGGAACACCGAUAGGGAAGCCAGCUCACUGGACCGUAACUGACGCUAAGGUACGAAAGCGUGGGGAGCCAACAGG